GGGUUGGUGCGUGUCCCCGAGUAGGGGCGGACUCGUGUAAUCUGUCUUGAAUCUGCAAAGACCUCUUUGUAAGCCUGAAUACUUCCUGGUGACCGAUAGUGGAUAGUACCGUGAGGGAAUGGUGAAAAGUACCCCGGGAGGGGAGUGAAAUAGUACCUGAAAUCGGGCGCUUACGAUCCGUCAGAGCCUUGUGGGGUGAUGGCGUGCCUUUUGAAGAAUGAGCCUGCGAGUUAUGUUGUGUGGCGAGGUUAACGCGUGUGUGGUAGCCGUAGGGAAAUCCGAGUCUGAAUAGGGCGUGGAGUCGCAUGAUAUAGACCCGAAGCGGGGUGAUCUACGCUUGGCCAGGUUGAAGCACGUGUAGAAGCGUGUGGAGGACCGAACCCACCUGGGUUGAAAACCGGGGGGAUGAGCUGAGUGUAGGGGUGAAAGGCUAAUCAAACUCCGUGAUAGCUGGUUCUCCCCGAAAUGCAUUUAGGUGCAGCGUUGUGUGUUUCUUGCUGGUGGUAGAGCUACUGGUUGACUGAUGGGCCGUGUUGGUUACUGAGGUCUGCCAAACUCCGAAUGCCGGUUAAGUUAAGCAUGGCAGUGAGACUGCGGGGGAUAAGCUCCGUGGUCGAGAGGGAAACAGCCCAGAUCGUCGACUAAGGCCCCUAAGCGUGCGCUGAGUGGGAAAGGAUGUGGAGUCGCGUAGACAACCAGGAGGUUGGCUCAGAAGCAGCCAUCCUUGAAAGAGUGCGUAAUAGCUCACUGGUCAAGUGGUUCCGCGCCGAUAAUGUAGCGGGGCUUAAGCGUACCGCCGAAGUCGCGGCAUCAACACAUUUUCGCGGCCUGCCUCGAGGUGGGUUAGUGGUGUUGUUGGGUAGGGGAGCGUCCUGCCAGAGUUGAAGUCCGGGAGUGAUCUCGGGUGGAUUUGGUGGGAGUGAGAAUGCAGGCAUGAGUAGCGAGUGGAAAGUGAGAAUCUUUCCCGCUGGAUGACUAAGGGUUCCAGGGCUAGGUUUGUCCGCCCUGGGUGAGUCGGGUCCUAAGGCGAGGCCGACAGGCGUAGUCGAUGGGUGACCGGUUGAUAUUCCGGUACCGGCGAAGAACCGUCCAUGACGAGGGGUCGUGUGCUAACCAAUGCCACUGGCUUGUUUCACCUUCGGGUGUUAUGGGUUUUGUGGUCUUGGGGUCCCGCGGUUUAGUAGUCAAGCGUGUUAACAGGGGUGACGCAGUGAGGUAGCCGACGCGUGUCUUAUGGCUUGGCGCGUCUAAGAGUGUGGCCCGUCUCCUAGGCAAAUCCGGGAGGCUUUGAGGGUGAGGCUUGAUGGUGAGACCGUUUUGGUUGAAGUUUGGUGUGCCUGUACUGCCGAGAAAAGCCUCGACGUUAGGUUUGAGCCGCCCGUACCCUAAACCGACACUGGUAGUCAGGUAGAGAAUACUAAAGCGGACGGGUUAAUCAUGGUUAAGGAACUCGGCAAAAUGCCCUCGUAACUUCGGGAGAAGGGGGACCAUUACCGGCGAAGCGUCUUGCGCGUGGUUGUUGGUGGUGGUCGCAGUGAAUAGGGGGAAGCGACUGUUUAUCAAAAACACAGGUGCAUGCUAAGCCGUGAGGCGCUGUAUAUGCACUGACGCCUGCCCGGUGCUGGAAGGUUAAGAGGAACUGUUAGUCUUUGGACGAAGCGGUGAAUUUAAGCCCCAGUAAACGGCGGUGGUAACUAUAACCAUCCUAAGGUAGCGAAAUUCCUUGUCGGGUAAGUUCCGACCUGCACGAAUGGCGUAACGACUUCCCUGCUGUCUCGACCGUGAGCCCGGUGAAAUUGCAUUACGAGUAAAGAUGCUCGUUUCGCGCAGCAGGACGAAGAGACCCCGGGACCUUUACUAUAGCUUGGUAUUGGUGCUCGCUUGCGAUUGUGUAGGAUAGGUGGGAGACUUUGAAGCUGGCACGCCAGUGUUGGUGGAGUCGUUGUUGAAAUACCACUCUGUUGUAAGUGGGUUCCUAACUUAGACCCCUGAUCGGGGUCAGGGACAGUGCCUGGUGGGUAGUUUAACUGGGGCGGUUGCCUCCUAAACUGUAACGGAGGCGCUCAAAGGUCCUCUCAGCCUGGUUGGCAAUCAGGUGUUGAGUGUAAGUGCACAAGAGGGCUUGACUGUGAGACUGACAGGUCGAGCAGGUACGAAAGUAGGAACUAGUGAUCCGGCCAUGGCUUGAGGAAGCGUGGUCGCUCAACGGAUAAAAGGUACCCCGGGGAUAACAGGCUGAUCUUGCCCAAGAGUCCAUAUCGACGGCAUGGUUUGGCACCUCGAUGUCGGCUCGUCGCAUCCUGGGGC
rnacentral:rRNA from 1 species